UACGGAGGGAGCUAGCGUUGUUCGGAAUUACUGGGCGUAAAGCGCACGUAGGCGGCUUUGUAAGUUAGAGGUGAAAGCCCGGGGCUCAACCCCGGAACUGCCUUUAAGACUGCAUCGCUUGAAUCCAGGAGAGGUGAGUGGAAUUCCGAGUGUAGAGGUGAAAUUCGUAGAUAUUCGCAAGAACACCAGUGGCGAAGGCGGCUCACUGGCCCGGUACUGACGCUGAGGUGCGAAAGCGUGGGGAGCAAACAGG
rnacentral:rRNA from 1 species